UACAGAGGUCUCAAGCGUUGUUCGGAUUCAUUGGGCGUAAAGGGUGCGUAGGUGGCGCGGUAAGUCGGGUGUGAAAUUUCGGAGCUUAACUCCGAAACUGCAUUCGAUACUGCCGUGCUUGAGGACUGGAGAGGAGACUGGAAUUUACGGUGUAGCAGUGAAAUGCGUAGAUAUCGUAAGGAAGACCAGUGGCGAAGGCGGGUCUCUGGACAGUUCCUGACACUGAGGCACGAAAGCCAGGGGAGCAAACGGG
rnacentral:rRNA from 1 species